GGUGAACGCUGGCGGCGUGCCUAAUACAUGCAAGUCGAGCGAACAGAUAAGGAGCUUGCUCCUUUGACGUUAGCGGCGGACGGGUGAGUAACACGUGGGUAACCUACCUAUAAGACUGGGAUAACUUCGGGAAACCGGAGCUAAUACCGGAUAACAUUUGGAACCGCAUGGUUCUAAAGUGAAAGAUGGUUUUGCUAUCACUUAUAGAUGGACCCGCGCCGUAUUAGCUAGUUGGUAAGGUAACGGCUUACCAAGGCGACGAUACGUAGCCGACCUGAGAGGGUGAUCGGCCACACUGGAACUGAGACACGGUCCAGACUCCUACGGGAGGCAGCAGUAGGGAAUCUUCCGCAAUGGGCGAAAGCCUGACGGAGCAACGCCGCGUGAGUGAUGAAGGGUUUCGGCUCGUAAAACUCUGUUAUUAGGGAAGAACAAAUGUGUAAGUAACUGUGCACGUCUUGACGGUACCUAAUCAGAAAGCCACGGCUAACUACGUG
rnacentral:rRNA from 1 species